CCUCACUGUAUGUAUUUUAUUCCUCACUGAUCUCUCUCUAUCUUUUCAAUCUUUUUCCUCUUCCUUCAAUUGCUUCUGGUUAUCAGCUGCUGUUCUUCACCAUCACUGUGCUUCUCAAGUUUGACAAGGUCACCGAUUUCGCAGGUUGCUCUAAUUUUGUUGUACUUGCUAUAGUAACACUCACUUUGAAGGCAUCAUGGCAUCUCAGACAGAUUGUACUGACAUUGUUUGUUGUUAUAUGGGGACUUCGGU